CUUAUAGGAACCUACCAUGACUGGUGUGAAGCGUUCUCAACAUAUCCUCGAACAUAUGAUCUGCUUCAUGUCGAUGGUCUCUUCACAGGGGAAAGUCAUAGGUGUGAAAUGAAGCAUGUUCUUCUCGAGAUGGAUCGGAUCCUCCGGCCAAAUGGAUAUGCAAUUAUCCGGGAAUCAAGCUACUUCAUGGAUGCCAUUGCUACCAUAGCCAAGGGGAUGAAAUGGAGUUGUCGUAAAGAAGACACAGAAUACGGCGUAGAAAAGGAAAAGAUACUGAUUUGCCAGAAGAAACUCUGGUAUUCCUCUAAGCAGAGCUAAAGAUUACAAGUUCCUGGGAGACAAGCCUCGUGUAAAGAUAUUCGAUAUAUUCAAAAUAUCAUCCAUAUGAGAGAAGAUUUAUGGCAUUCACAGGAGAAUAUUCGUUUUAUAGAAAAUUGAAGUUGGAACAUAUCGAUUGAAUAAUGGUGAUCAAUAAUGAGGUUCUUGCUUAUUUUGGUAUUUUUUUGACAUAAUAUAUUGUUUGUAAUCUUUUAGUGUCUUGUCCUGCCUUUUUUAUGUAUUUCUUGAUGCCGUGAAAUGUGUAAAAGAGUCGCGGCGCCAUAGCUCCAUAAUUUUAUGUAGUUAUUGAAAUUACUCUUUCAAAUUUCAAUAAAUGAAAUUCAGAGAAUUUGAUUUCC